rnacentral:rRNA from 1 species
GGGUCCGGACACACUGAGGAUUGACAGGCAAUAUUAAUACGUGUUUCGGCGCGUAUUAUGUUAAAUAUGCUAGUCCUUUCAUGAUUAUGUGAUAGGUGGUGCAUGGCCGUUCUUAGUUCGUGGAGUGAUCUGUCUGCUUAAUUGCGUUUCACUAAGAGUCUAUCAAUACGUGCGUUGCGGCACUUUGACCCCUCUCUGAGCGCGCGUCUUAGUUGCUUAGCUCGCACAAUUAGGCUCUGAAAGCAACGAACGUGACCGCAACCUCUUGUUGCCUUUAUACCAAACAUUUUUGCUGUUCUCAUCAUUAAUGCAAAAAGGCUUUUUAAACUAGAGGGACCGCUGUUACUUUCUUAAACCAGAGGAAGGUUGCGGCAAUAACACGUCUGUGAUGCCCUUAUAUGUUCCGGGCUGCACACGUGCUACAAUGAUUGUUGCAGUGAGCAUCUCAUUUUUACACACCGCAUGCGCGAGUCCAUUUAUUCACUUCUGUGCUUUAAAUGUGUAUUUCUGCGCGCGGUAAAGCCUGCUUCGAGAGUAAGUGGGU